rnacentral:rRNA from 1 species
AACGAACGCUGGCGGCAUGCCUAACACAUGCAAGUCGAACGAGACCUUCGGGUCUAGUGGCGCACGGGUGCGUAACGCGUGGGAACCUGCCCUUAGGUUCGGAAUAACUUCCCGAAAGGGGUGCUAAUACCGGAUAAUGUUUUCGGACCAAAGAUUUAUCGCCUUUGGAUGGGCCUGCGUUGGAUUAGCUAGUUGGUAGGGUAAAAGCCUACCAAGGCGACGAUCCAUAGCUGGUCUGAGAGGAUGUUCAGCCACACUGGGACUGAGACACGGCCCAGACUCCUACGGGAGGCAGCAGUGGGGAAUAGAGGACAAUGGGCGAAAGCCUGAUCCAGCAAUGCCGCGUGAGUGAUGAAGGCCUUAGGGUUGUAAAGCUCUUUUACCCGGGAUGAUAAUGACAGUACCGGGAGAAUAAGCUCCGGCUAACUCCGUG